AGAGUUUGAUCAUGGCUCAGGACGAACGCUGGCGGCGUGCCUAAUACAUGCAAGUCGAACGAAGCUUUCUUUCACCGAAUGCUUGCAUUCACCGAAAGAAGCUUAGUGGCGAACGGGUGAGUAACACGUAGGCAACCUGCCCAAAAGAGGGUGAUAACACUUGGAAACAGGUGCUAAUACCGCAUAACCAUGAACACCGCAUGAUGUUCGUGUAAAAGACGGCUUUUGCUGUCACUUUUGGAUGGGCCUGCGGCGUAUUAACUUGUUGGUGGGGUAACGGCCUACCAAGGUGAUGAUACGUAGCCGAACUGAGAGGUUGAUCGGCCACAUUGGGACUGAGACACGGCCCAAACUCCUACGGGAGGCAGCAGUAGGGAAUCUUCCACAAUGGACGAAAGUCUGAUGGAGCAACGCCGCGUGAAUGAAGAAGGCCUUCGGGUCGUAAAAUUCUGUUGUCAGAGAAGAAUGUGCGUGAGAGUAACUGUUCACGUAUUGACGGUAUCUGACCAGAAAGCCACGGCUAACUACGUGCCAGCAGCCGCGGUAAUACGUAGGUGGCAAGCGUUGUCCGGAUUUAUUGGGCGUAAAGGGAACGCAGGCGGUCUUUUAAGUCUGAUGUGAAAGCCUUCGGCUUAACCGAAGUAGUGCAUUGGAAACUGGAAGACUUGAGUGCAGAAGAGGAGAGUGGAACUCCAUGUGUAGCGGUGAAAUGCGUAGAUAUAUGGAAGAACACCAGUGGCGAAAGCGGCUCUCUGGUCUGUAACUGACGCUGAGGUUCGAAAGCGUGGGUAGCAAACAGGAUUAGAUACCCUGGUAGUCCACGCCGUAAACGAUGAGUGCUAAGUGUUGGAGGGUUUCCGCCCUUCAGUGCUGCAGCUAACGCAUUAAGCACUCCGCCUGGGGAGUACGGUCGCAAGACUGAAACUCAAAGGAAUUGACGGGGGCCCGCACAAGCGGUGGAGCAUGUGGUUUAAUUCGAAGCAACGCGAAGAACCUUACCAGGUCUUGACAUCUUCUGACAAUUCCAGAGAUGGAACGUUCCCUUCGGGGACAGAAUGACAGGUGGUGCAUGGUUGUCGUCAGCUCGUGUCGUGAGAUGUUGGGUUAAGUCCCGCAACGAGCGCAACCCUUAUUGUCAGUUGCCAUCAUUAAGUUGGGCACUCUGGCGAGACUGCCGGUGACAAACCGGAGGAAGGUGGGGAUGACGUCAAAUCAUCAUGCCCCUUAUGACCUGGGCUACACACGUGCUACAAUGGACGGUACAACGAGUCGCUAACUCGCGAGGGCAAGCUAAUCUCUUAAAGCCGUUCUCAGUUCGGAUUGCAGGCUGCAACUCGCCUGCAUGAAGUCGGAAUCGCUAGUAAUCGCGAAUCAGCAUGUCGCGGUGAAUACGUUCCCGGGCCUUGUACACACCGCCCGUCACACCAUGAGAGUUUGUAACACCCAAAGUCGGUGGGGUAACCUUUUGGAGCCAGCCGCCUAAGGUGGGACAGAUGAUUGGGGUGGAGUCGUAACAAGGUA
rnacentral:rRNA from 1 species